rnacentral:rRNA from 1 species
GUAAAACCCCCUAUAACUUAUAGUGGUUGACCUCGGAUUAGGUAGGAAUACCCGCUGAACUUAAGCAUAUCAAUAAGCGGAGGAAAAGAAACCAACAGGGAUUGCCCUAGUAACGGCGAGUGAAGCGGCAAAAGCUCAAAUUUGAAAUCUGGCCCUAGCGGUCCGAGUUGUAAUUUGCAGAGGAUGCUUUUGGUGCGGUGCCUUCCGAGUUCCCUGGAACGGGACGCCAUAGAGGGUGAGAGCCCCGUACGGUUGGAUACCUAGCCUCUAUAUAGCUCCUUCGACGAGUCGAGUAGUUUGGGAAUGCUGCUCUAAAUGGGAGGUAAAUUUCUUCUAAAGCUAAAUACCGGCCAGAGACCGAUAGCGCACAAGUAGAGUGAUCGAAAGAUGAAAAGCACUUUGAAAAGAGGGUUAAAUAGCACGUGAAAUUGUUGAAAGGGAAGCGUUUGCGACCAGACCUUCUCCAGGGGGAUCAACCGCUGUUCUCAGCGGUGCACUCCCCCUGGUUUAGGCCAGCAUCGGUUCUCUUAGGGGGAUAAAGGCCUGGGGAACGUAGCUCUUUAGGG